rnacentral:rRNA from 1 species
UCGCCGGCCUCGCGCGCGUGCACGUCCCUCGCCGUCGCUCUUUCCGACCCUUCGAGGCUUUCGACCUUCUCAACACCUGUGCACCCGCUGUAGGUCCUUCGGGACCUACGUCUUUCUUCGAACCCGCAUGUCUACAGAACGUAUUCGUCGCGUCCCGGCCUCGACCCUCAGGGUCCCGCGUCGGCGACCGCAAAACCUAUGAUACAACUUUCAGCAACGGAUCUCUUGGCUCUCGCAUCGAUGAAGAACGCAGCGAAUCGCGAUAAGUAAUGUGAAUUGCAGAUUUUCCGUGAAUCAUCGAAUCUUUGAACGCACCUUGCGCUCCUUGGUAUUCCGAGGAGCAUGCCUGUUUGAGUGUCAUCGAAACCUCAGACCGACCCUUCGACCCCGUCGGAGCUCGGUCUGGACUUGUGGGAGUCUGCGGGCGAAGCGUGACUUCGUCGGCUCUCCUCAAAAGCAUUAGCCGUGGGUGGCGAGCCUGGCAUGGCACGGCCUCCUCGACGUCGUAAUGAUCGUCGUGGGCUGGAAGUGUACGGCUCGACGGACCCAUGCUUCGCAANNCUUGCGAGCCCGUCCCUCGCGGACGGCCGCGCCCCAUCGAAGCUUGACCU